rnacentral:lncRNA from 1 species
AAUAAUUCACAUGAUCUAACUAAACUCGAAAUCCAUUUUUUAGUUCAAAUACAAUCUCAUGCAGUUCAUUCGAAUACACCCAGGAACCUGCUAAGAUCAUGCAUUACACUAUCAAUGUGAAAACUAAACCCAAGUUAAUUGUUAACUUAACCCAAAAUUAGCCAAAACAAACAAAAUCGGUCUAGCAGUUCAAUAUAGUUCUUGACAACAUAAGUAAUCUAAAUGGGGUAUUAAACUACAAUAAUUCCUAAUAGGUUCAGAUUAACAAAAAUUCCUUGUCAUUGACUUUCUGGAUCAUUUAUACACUUGAACCAAGAUGCCACAUUAAAAUGGAGAUAAGAGUGUACCUGGAUGUUGUAACACAACGAACAAGAAAGAAAAAGAAAAUCAGCUGGCAGCAACAGCAGUAAACAGCAAUCAGCAACAGCAGCAGUAACAACCAAACAGAAUACACCCCAGUGAACAAACUAGAAAUAACUCAAUGAAACAGUACUCAAUAUACAAACAAAACAGACUCAGGAGGCUCAGUUGAGACCCGAAAAUACCAAUGUUAAUCACAGGCAGAAAUAGGUGAAUCCGAAACAACAGUGGAACAACAGUUUCUGAUUUUCGGACACUCAAAGAAAGAAGCCUAAGUUUCAAUAGAACAAUUGCAGUUAAUGCUGAUUUCAAACAAAAAAAAGUGAAGAAAAGCAGAAUUUUUCAGCUUCAAUGGAGCAACAGAGGUUUUUCUUUUUGUUUAUUGUCUACCUAGGAUUGAAGUCCAGAAAUGAGCUCUCUCUUUUAGUUUCAAGAUAGGCUCCCUUAGGUUCUAAAAAACUCUUCCUCUUGUCCGAAAUCAGUCCCCUUUAAAGACUAGAGCUGGCCCUCCUUUAUUCAAACAUUUCAGCCUGUUUUUAUUCCCUCCUUAUGUGCAUUUCUACCUUUUUAUCAUUGAACCCAUGUUGUUCCUGAUUUCCCACCAGUAAAGUCACUAAGCCAACUCAAGUAGUACCCUUUUUCACUAGUUAAUUCAAAAAGAAUCUGUCGGUCUUUAACUAGUCAUUUCUAUUUAAAAUUAAGCCCCAUGCUCUUUCUGAUUUCCAGCCACUAAAGGCACUUAAUCAUAUCAUCAAUUCCACUAUUGAUCCCUAUUUUAUUCAUUAGUUUAUAUUAGUAUUAAACUGACAUACCAUUAAACUGGACAAUUUGCGGGUUUCUAACAACCCGACCUGUUAAAACUAAUUGACGACAUUUAUCCAAUCGACUAUACAAAUUACAACAUAUAAGUCAAUAGCUAACAAUUAGAAUCGAACAGUACACAUAGGUGAUUCAAGUUGUACUGACAAAAUAAUGAAUUACCCUAGAGACUAAUUAAUCGAUCAAACUUAUUCCAAUCGAUUAUAUAGUUUAAACACACACACCUAUCAAUGAACAGACGACAAUUCCGACCAAAUAAAAGGUCUGAUUUGGAGAAGAAAAAGAAGUUGGAAAUAAAAUCAUUCUAAACAACAAAUGAACAACAAAAUAAACAAACAAAAAUAGAUCAAACGGAAAAGGGAAAAAGAAUAUCUCGAGUAAUCUAGAUGACCCAGGUCUGAACUCAGACUCGACCUUUUUGAGGUCGAAUGGACCUUAAUCAAGUGUUCUCAACAGAGAACAAUUCGACUAAGGUCUAUUAGAACCUCAAACCUCUGCCAAUUUGGACAAAUUCCUGGUUUUUGGAUUUCUAGGGUUCUUGGGGCUCAGAUUAGGGGUUCGAGCUUUUCUGGUUCGAUUCGAACCAAACCAGGCUUGGUUUGGUCACGGGGGAGGUCAGGGGAGUAACUGGUGUGCAUUUGGGAUAGGUUGGUAUAAGUUGAGGUUUGGCUCGAAUCUUCAAAUGAAGAUUCGAGACGAUGGGGGAAGAUUUGAGACAAGGGAGUAACAUAUUUGGAACGGGGGUGGUCAGAUGGUUUAGGGGUGUUAAUCUGGUGACCGGCGGUGUCGAUGCCGCCGGGUUUCAGGCGAUGGGGUAAGGUGGCGGCGCUAGGGUUCCGAGGUUGUUUGGUUUGCCUCUUUCAGAGACAAAGGGGGGGUGUUUGGGAAUGAAAUGGGUAAAAGGGGUUUGGGGAUUUUUGGGUAUAUUAAACACGACAAUUAAUUUGAGUCGUCAGAUCGAAUGAUCUUAACGGCUCGGAUUAAUUGGUGAAGGACGAGACGGGGUUGUUUGGUGCAGAAACGGGGUCGUUUGGUUUUAAUGAGGGGCUGGGUCGACCCGGGUAAGCAAGUCGGGUUAUAGGGUGAGAUCGUGGACCGUUGGAUGAGGAUGGAUGCACGGUCGAGAUGCGUCGGUCUCAAAACGACGUCGUCUGAGGCGUCUUUUGAGAGCUGAUGGUUUGGGCCCGGUAUAGGUCUUGUUUGGGCCUGAUUUUGGACCAAAAGGGAAUGGCCCAGUUCAAAUUCCUUUUUCUAUUUUUUGUUCUUUUCCUUUUUAAUUCCUAGUUUAAAUUCCGAAUUUACAAAAAAUUAUAAAAUUAAAAUUAUAUCACACAGACAUUAAUUGAUUCUUAGCAAUAAUUAACACACAUUAUCAUAUAUUAAUUAAACAAAAUCAACCAUUAAACGAUAAAAAUGACAAAAUUACCACAAAAAAAAUAAUAUUUUUGUGAUUUUUAUUCAUUUAAAAACCAAAUACGAUUUAAUUAAUUCCUAAUAGUAGAAUAAGAUCCUAAAUUUACAUGCAACAUAUUUUUGUAUUUUUAAUUAAUAAAAUAAACAAUCAAAGACAAAAACUACAAAUAACUAUCAAAAAAUGCCACGCAAAUUCUCAAAAUUAUACACAAAGACAAUUUGUUUUAUUUUUCGAUUUCUUUUGGAGUAAUUGUCGUGGAAACAAAAAUCACGUGCUCACAGCUGCCCCUCUUUGUUCGAAAACAUGCAAGGUUUUCGUGCAAAGAUAAAGUGAGCGGAUAUGAGCGAUUUUCGUUUGUUUGACUACUCCGUGUGAAACAUUUUUUGAAAUAUUUGACCGAACCUCUGCUUCGAAGGUUUCCUACAUAUCCUGGGCUAAACAGGAAUCAGGUCAAUGUAGUUCGGGAAGUUUUGGUAGCUGGGACUACCAUGGGACUGUAAUGUUGUUGUUACUACUGUUGCAUGCUGUUACUACUGCUUUACCGACCUCCUUAUUACACCAAAAGAGAAUUAAAACUAAGCUAGCUAUGCCUAUAAACUACUAGUUACAAGNNNNNNNNNNNNNNNNNNNNNNNNNUUCCUACUAGGGAUCCGCAUGAGUUUUGUUUAUACUAGGUUUAUCCUGGGUAUUUGUUCUAGACUAUGUACCCGAGCGGACAACUCGAGUCGAGGAGGGGGCUACGUACCGGGGACCCGCGAGAUCGUCCGGCUUUGUAACUUGUCCGACCUCUUUCUUAUUUCAAGGUAUGACACUAACAGAAUAGGGAGUCUCGACCAGCAAGCACAUCCCCGAAGAUGAGAAGAAGAGAGUUUCGGCACAGUUUAUAUACAGUUCAGUUAAUAUCAAAGCGGUAAAAGGCAACAUUUAGCACGUUAUGCCCAAACAUGUAAUAAAGAUCAGAUAAUAAAGCCGAAUAUAACAAAUAUUCUAAGCUCGAAUUCUUGAACCCUGAACCAGAGAUUUUGGGUUCGUAUCCCCAGCAGAGUCGCCAGAGCUGUCACACCUCCUUUUUGCGCGCCUACCCCGAAGGAUGCGUGAGGGAUUUUUUCCAUUUUAAGUGACAAUAUUCGAAAUGAGAUUAUUUAUUUAAUUCAGAGUCGUCACUUGGGAAAAGUUUGGCUUUUGGUGUCCCAAGUCACCGGUUUAUCUUGAAUCCCAAUUCGAGGAAAAUAUUCGACUUUCCAAAUGAAGUCUGCGAACCAGAAAUUCUAAGUAAGGAAUUUUGUUGAUCCGACGGAAGGUGUUAGGCACCCCCGAAUCCGGUGGUUCUAGCACAGUCGCUUAAAUUGUUAUAAUGGCUAAAUAUCUGAUUUUAAUACAUGUUAUAACUUGUGUGCUUUUAUUAGGUUUAAACCGCUUUUAUUAUUUAUUUAUUAUGGAAUUGCAACGUCGUGAAAAUGUAUUUCGAACCGCGUCGCAAUCAAUGCGCCCGUGGUUGUUAAUAUAUUCCGACUCCGUUGAGAUUUGGAUUUGGGUCACAUAAAUGCGCACCCGAAUUUAAGCAUGUAAUUUAAUUAAAAGCGCGUCUAAAGAGUCUAACGCGUUAUUAUCUUUGGGGAAAGCCGUGAAGUUCGCUAAAUGGACACUCCCGAAAUCUAAGUAAUUAUUAACAUCUAUUGAGGGCCCCGUAGUUUGUGCGUCUUUGUUUGGCGAGGCUCGCCUCAUUUAUUUUAAAAAAACAAAGGGCAAGCCUAAAAGCAGCUAUGAUUUUUUUUUGUGUGUGUUUUGUCUCUAAGAAAAAAAAAAGAAAAUAUCCUAAUUAAAAUGUUUCCGGUCUAAUACGGGCCAAGCAAUAGUUUUGAAAUAACCGUGCCAUUGGGCUCAAAAGUAAGCCCAAAGAAUAUGAAUUGAAACAACGAUCCAUUAAUGAAAACCGUUCGAGCGCGGGCCUUAAAAUUUGCCCAAAACGAGAAAGGUAUUUAAUAGGCCCACUUCAAAGCUUUUAAUUAGCUACUGAUCCUUGAUUCUUACUAAAUAGAUUUCAAAAAUAAAAGGAAUGACGACAUGCUCAGUUAUUUCAAUGUUAUUUCAAUAUGCACUUGAUAAUUGAACGCAGGGAAUAAUGAUGUGUAUUUAUUUAUUCCUACUGGAGAUUGAUUACUCAGCACAGGCUAAACUAGUUUGAUACUAGCUCGAACUAAACUUACUAGUCUAAUACUUAACUUGGGCUUGACGUAUGAUAACAUAAUCAAUUGCUUCACGCUGUUCUGACUGCCUGCUAAUUUAUUACGAACCAUACAAUCGUUUAACGACAAAUUACAAAAGAGGAUCUAAUACUUAACAAUCCAAUAAUUCACAUGAUCUAACUAAACUCGAAAUCCAUUUUUUAGUUCAAAUACAAUCUCAUGCAGUUCAUUCGAAUACACCCAGGAACCUGCUAAGAUCAUGCAUUACACUAUCAAUGUGAAAACUAAACCCAAGUUAAUUGUUAACUUAACCCAAAAUUAGCCAAAACAAACAAAAUCGGUCUAGCAGUUCAAUAUAGUUCUUGACAACAUAAGUAAUCUAAAUGGGGUAUUAAACUACAAUAAUUCCUAAUAGGUUCAGAUUAACAAAAAUUCCUUGUCAUUGACUUUCUGGAUCAUUUAUACACUUGAACCAAGAUGCCACAUUAAAAUGGAGAUAAGAGUGUACCUGGAUGUUGUAACACAACGAACAAGAAAGAAAAAGAAAAUCAGCUGGCAGCAACAGCAGUAAACAACAAUCAGCAACAACAGCAGUAACAACCAAACAGAAUACACCCCAGUGAAUAAACCAGAAAUAACUCAAUGAAACAAUACUCAAUAUCCAAACAAAAUAGACUCAGGAGGCUCAGUUGAGACCCGAAAAUACCAAUGUUAAUCACAGGCAGAAAUAGGUGAAUCUGAAACAACAGUUUCUGAUUUUUGGACACUCAAAGAAAGAAGCCUAAGUUUCAAUAGAACAAUAGCAGUUAAUGCUGAUUUCAAACAGAAAAAAAAAGUGAAGAAAAGUAGAAUUUUUCAGCUUCAAUGGAGCAACAGAGGUUUUUCUUUUUGUUUAUUGUCUACCUAGGAUUGAAGUCCAGAAAUGAGCUCUCUCUUUUAGUUUCAAGAUAGGCUCCCUUAGGUUCUAAAAAACUCUCCCUCUUGUCCGAAAUCAGUCCCCUUUAAAGACUAGAGCUGGCCCUCCUUUAUUCAAACAUUUCAGCCUGUUUUUAUUCCAUCCUCAUGUGCAUUUCUACCUUUUUAUUAUUGAACCCAUGUUGUUCCUGAUUUCCCACCAGUAAAGUCACUAAGCCAACUCAAGUAGUACCCUUUUUCACUAGUUAAUUCAAAAAGAAUCUGUCAGUCUUUAAUUAGUCAUUUCUAUUUAAAAUUAAGCCCCAUGCUCUUUCUGAUUUUCAGCCACUAAAGGCACUUAAUCAUAUCAUCAAUUCCACUAUUGAUCCCUAUUUUAUUCAUUAGUUUAUAUUAGUAUUAAACUGACAGACCAUUAAAACUGGACAAUUUGCGGGUUUCUAACAACCCGACCUGUUAAAACUAAUUGACGACAUUUAUCCAAUCGACUAUACAAAUUACAACAUAUAAGUCAACAGCUAACAAUCAGAAUCGAACAGUACACAUAGGUGAUUCAAGUUGUACUGACAAAAUAACGAAUUACCCUGGAAACUAAUUAAUCGAUCAAACUUAUUCCAAUCGAUUAUAUAGUUUAAACACACACACCUAUCAAUGAACAGACGACAAUUCCGACCAAAUAAAAGGUCUGAUUUGGAGAAGAAAAAGAAGUUGGAAAUAAAAUCAUUCUAAACAACAAACGAACAACAAAAUAAACAAAAAAAAAACAGAUCAAACGGAAAAGGGAAAAAGAAUACCUCGAGUAAUCUAGAUGACCCAGGUCUGAACUCAGACUCGACCUUUUUGAGGUCGAAUGGACCUUAAUCAAGUGUUCUCAACGGAGAACAAUUCGACUAAGGUCUAUUAGAACCUCAAACCUCUGCCAAUUUGGACAAAUUCCUGGUUUUUGAAUUUCUAGGGUUCUUGGGGCUCAGAUUAGGGGUUCGAGCUGUUCUGGUUCGAUUCGAACCAAACAAGGUUUGGUUUGGUCACGAGGGAGGUCAGGGGAGUAACUGGUGUGCAUUUGGGAUCGGUUGGUAUAAGUUUAGGUUUGGCUCGAAUCUUCAAAUGAAAAUUCGAGACGAUGGGGGAAGAUUUGAGACAAUGGAGUAACAUAUUUGGAACGGGGGUGGUCAGAUGGUUUAGGGGUGUUAAUCUGGUGACCGGCGGUGUCGAUGCCGCCGGGUUUCAGGCGAUGGAGUAAGGUGGCGGCGCUAGGGUUCCGAGGUUGUUUGGUUUGCCUCUUUCAGAGACGAAGGGGGGGUGUUUGGG